GUGGGCACAGCUCAGAGGUAGAGCAUUUGACUACAGAUCAAGAGAUCCCCAAAGCAAAUUUGUGUGCUAACU
rnacentral:tRNA from 1 species